AUCUGUACGACUCGGAUCUGUGUCGCUGUAUCUGGGUGGCUUGAGAAGGAGCUGACAAGCUCAGACUUCUCCCCGACCACCCUGGAAGACGUUCCAGGGAU
rfam:Mesocricetus auratus contig173582, whole genome shotgun sequence.